UACGAAGGGGGCUAGCGUUGCUCGGAAUCACUGGGCGUAAAGCGCACGUAGGCGGCUUUUUAAGUCAGGGGUGAAAUCCUGGAGCUCAACUCCAGAACUGCCUUUGAUACUGAGAGGCUUGAGUCCGGGAGAGGUGAGUGGAACUGCGAGUGUAGAGGUGAAAUUCGUAGAUAUUAGGAAGAACACCAGUGGCGAAGGCGGCUCACUGGUCCGGUACUGACGCUGAGGUGCGAAAGCGUGGGGAGCAAACAGG
rnacentral:rRNA from 1 species